rnacentral:rRNA from 1 species
AGAUUGAACGCUGGCGGCAGGCCUAACACAUGCAAGUCGAGCGGCAGCACGGGUACUUGUACCUGGUGGCGAGCGGCGGACGGGUGAGUAAUGCCUAGGAAUCUGCCUGGUAGUGGGGGAUAACGCUCGGAAACGGACGCUAAUACCGCAUACGUCCUACGGGAGAAAGCGAGGGGACCUUCGGGCCUUGCGCUAUCAGAUGAGCCUAGGUCGGAUUAGCUAGUUGGUGGGGUAAUGGCUCACCAAGGCGACGAUCCGUAACUGGUCUGAGAGGAUGAUCAGUCACACUGGAACUGAGACACGGUCCAGACU